GCAGACACACUCCAGCCAAUCAGCAGCAGACCCUCCCUCCCAGACCCUCCCACCUCCUGGACAGCUCACUAAGAAUGCAGCUUCACAAUGAAUGUAAAAUGGAUGCUGUCCAGGAGGUGGGAGGGUCUGGGAGGGAGGGUCUGCUGCUGAUUGGCUGGAAUGUGUCUG